AUCAAAUCAAACAAAUAACUAAUCAUUUUUAAAAUAAUAAUUUUUAAUAUUAAAAAAAAAUACAAUAUAAAUGGUUGAUGCAAUGCCAUUUAUUUGAUGGAAAAAUUAAAAUCUUAGAUUAAAUGGAUGAGAAAAAAAAAUCAGAGUACGGAAUUUAUUUAAUGAUCUAUGAUUAUAAUAAUUACUGACAAGGUAACAGUCAAGACACGCGUCUUCCCUGCACUGGUCCACAUCUCUAGGCUUUAUGGACUACUUCUCUAAUUUUUAUGUAUACGUGUCCUUAAAGACCGUGAAAAAAUUUUCUUUGCUGGAAAACGUUUAAGCGUCCGCUAUAAUCGUCAUCACAGACGCAUCAUCAAUACGUUUACAAUUAUUUGCGAGAGAAUAAUAUAUUUUAUUAUAAUGUAGUGGAUGAUUGAUUGAGGGUGGGUGUCGUAGUGAGAUGUUUAUGCUAGCUGGGGUUAUUCUUGGAACAGUAUGAACCAUGAGUAUAUAGUUCUUCCUUCUUUGUUGGAAGCAACAAAUGUAUGUGGGACCAAAAGAUGUAUGAUUGCUCGCCACGUGUAGGUUGUGUGCAGGAACGGUGGUUCCUUAGUCCCUUUAUAUUCUUGUUUGACUAUGACAGCUUUGCUGUAUCAUGAUGGAUCGGACUCACCUAAAACAGAAUUUUAUAGUGGUCACAGGGAUGCCUCCUGUUUUGUCAUUAUUGGCUUUCCUCCAAUACGCCAUUCUUUGUCUCUCUCUCUCUCUCUC
rnacentral:misc_RNA from 1 species